UUGUGCAUCAUGAUGCAGCUAGCUCUGUGGUAAUAGUGUUUGACACAGAUAACCGGAUAUUUGGUUUGCCCCGGGAGCUUGUGGUAACUGUAUCAGGUGCCACCAUGUCAGCAUUGAUCCUAACAGCUUGCAUUAUCUGGUGCAUCUGCUCAAUCAAGUCUAACAGACACAAAGAUGGCUUCCAUCGGCUCAGACAACAUCAUGAUGAGUAUGAAGAUGAAAUUCGCAUGAUGUCAACUGGUUCCAAGAAGUCCCUCCUCAGCCAUGAGUUUCAGGAUGAAACAGACACAGAAGAGGAAACAUUAUAUUCUAGCAAACAUUGAAAAAUACACUUUGCAUAUCUCCCAGCAUAAGUACCAAGCAAAAUGACAGUUCCUCUUGGGAGACUCUGCAUUAAGAAGAGACUGUCUUGCUUCUUCAAAAAGCUUUGGGAAGUUACCUUGCUAAAUUUAUAUCCUUUGUGAAUUUUGCUGGCAGUUUUGAACUUCCCUUCUUUCAAGUACUCUUAACCUUUUUUAAAAAAAUCUGAUUUCUAUUUAUGCAGCAGAGAUGAGACAACCAAUCUGUUUUUUGUUUUACUUUAAGAUGAGCUAUUUGGAGCUUAUAUAACAACAGCAUAAAGCCAACUAGUGGAUGUUGUAUUUUGCACAUCAGGUAUUUUACUAGUGGCUUUGGUUUUUCUUCUUUUGUUUUCCUUUAUUUUUAAGGCCAAAAGAAUCUAGAUAUAUUAAGGCAGGGACAGCAGUCAGACUCUGACAUAAAGCUUUAAAUACUCAAGGUUUUUCUCAACCUACUGAGGAGUACUCUUCUCUAGUUAUCAAAUAGCUGGAGUUUCUCUUAUUCAGGUUUAAUGGAGGCUGAAUGAUUUUCAAACAUGUAUGACAUAAGAAAAUGAAUAAAUGGGCUUCCGAAUUUGUCUUUCUACCUGUUUCCAGGCUAGAUCAGAACAGGUGGGCUAGCAGGAUUUCACUACCUCUCUUGUAAGGUUUGGCAAAGUUCUAAAUCUCCUCAUUUUAAGGGAGAUCUCAUUGACUGUGGAAGAUCUAAACGUCCCCUUGAAUGGAGGUGAGAGGGAGAUACUAGCAAAAGCUGAAACUCUCAUUGCCUAUCUUUUAACUUGGUAAAAACCCACAGGUGCUGCUGCUUUUAUCUGUGAAGCGCUAGUUGAUUCUAGGAAUGCCUAAUUCUUCAGUAGUUCCUAAAUUCAAGCCUUUUUCUAUGUUAUACACUUAUGGUUUUCAGAUGACCUAGCCAUCUACAAGUUCUGAAUUCUACUGAACAUAUCUGGAAGUGUGGAUGAACCUACCUGCACAUCUGAACAUACAGUAUCUAUAGUCCGUGCUCCAGCCCCAGCCUUCGCCCUUAAAGCAUACCAUUAGUGAACUAGUGUCACCAGUGUUGUUCCUGGCAGGCCUCUGCAAGUGAUUGGGUUCUUUGACCUACAGUUUCAUUUGACACUGUCUUUUUUUCUGAACAGCCAGUUUUGUUAAAAGUUCAGUUGAAAGCCUUUAAAUAUGGCUUUCCCCACUUAAAAAAAUGUAAACUAAGGAUUGUGUGUGAUAUAAUACUGUGGUGUGUAAGUAUCAUCUUCACUGCCCAUCAGGUCAAGACCUGAAAGAUAUGCAUUUGACUGUGUCCAUCUCAUGCUAUUCAGUGGAAAUGAUACUUUUGUUAAGUAUGAGUCUUAUCAAUGAUGUAAUGGUUUAAUACCUUUGAAUGUGUUAAUGGUCAAGUUGCUGCUGAAUUUGUACUAAAUCAGGGGAUAAAAAAACUAGCUCUUAUUCUUUCAAACUGUAUUCAUAUCUAUUAAUGUAUCAUUUAUCCCAAAGCCUUCAUGUGGAGGGGUUUGCUCAAUUCACCUAGGUCAUUCCACCGGGUUUUUAUGAGGAAUGAAUCCAACGUGGCUUUAGACAAUAGAGAUCUUUUUAGGAAGCAUAAUGAGGACAUGAUGUGUGUCAGCAAAUAUCUGUGAUAAGUUUGGGUGGCUUAAGGUUGAGCCAUUCUAGUACUGAUCCUGGCAUUAGUAACCCCAAAUUUCACCACUUUCACUCACAUCCCAUAUACACACAGAGUUUGUGGGAUGCUAAUAAUGAAUGAAAUAUACAUAAUUUGAUUUCUUCUAAUAACACUUUGUUUUCUGUAAGUAAAGGGGGUAUUGCUUUAUUUUUAAGAGGGCAAAGUCAGAAAACCAACAGGAGUCCUACAAGUUGCUGGCCCUGCUUGGGACAUUGCACCUAAAAAUGAAACCAACCUGCUGGGACAGCCUUGGCUUUAUUAGCAUUGGCCUUCACUAAAGGAUACCUUCAUAUUUACUUCUGUCUCAAAUUAAAUGCAUCUUUAAUAUACAUUUUAAAAGGCCAGGCCUUUUAAGUAUAUAUAAAACUUUUCAUUUUAGAGAUGAACAUAGUUCUUUUAGUAUUUAUUCUUGAAAUGGAAACCAAAUCCUGAGAUUAAGUCUUCAAACUUUAAUAAAUUUCUAAAUAAUGCAUUUAGCAAAGAAACAAGGCCUUUUUGGGGGCUUAUCAACAUGAAUGUACAGGAUCUGUGACUACUAAGACUGUGUUUUCAGCCCUGCUCUGUCUUUUAUUUGUGAAUCUAGUGUAAUAUUAGAAUAUAUGAACAGCAGAAGGCAUUGAAGCCAUAUGGGCUUGGGGAAUGCAUUUCUUCAGUAUUUCUCCUAGACAUGCCAUUCCCCUGGAGUCACAGAGGCACAUUAAGUAUCACAGUAUUAAGAAAUUGGCUCAAAUCUCACUUGUGCCCUUCUUUACUCACAAGGCAUGGUUUUGUCCUAGUGAUCAGUUUGUAAGCCUUCUUCCUUCCCAGCUCCUUAAUCAAUAAAAGUAAAGUGAUUGAGGAAGUCAUGUUCAAAGUGUCUGCCUGUGUAAAAUGUACUCAUACUUAUCAUAUAGUUAAGUAAAAUGAGUCCAAGUUAUCAGGAGGAAAAAGCUGUUGGGUUUCCAUGUACUUGGCAGAACUCUUCGGUAGUGAGUGAGACCCCAUCUAGUUGAGAAAUGCAUGAAAUUCUUACCACAGGGAAUUCGCUUUGGGACUUUGUCAUAAAAAGGAAACUUUACAUUUUUGGCUCAGUGUAAUUGAAUGGUUAAUCUUUGGUGAUUUUCAUCUGAAUAACUGAAUUAGUGAAUAUUGAACUUAAAAUGAAUUAUGAGUUGACAAAUUAAUAAAAGAUAAGUGUGUGUGUCUGAACUUACUGCGUUUCUGAGCUAGCCCCAGGUUACUCAGUUACCAUGACCUGACCUCCAUUUCCAUUUAUUCUCAGCAUUAAGUAAGCUUAUUUUUUGGUUAACAUAAAUGCACUUGUGCCUGGUUUUAUCCUUGCUGUAUUAAAAGCUUCCUGUCUAUGAAUGCUCUAAUAGUGCCCUGUAUUACAGUUCCCUGGUGAAAUUGUUUUAGCAGUAGCAACUCGGCAUUUCCCCUGUAUUUUACUAAAAACCCCACUUAUGUUUGAUGUUCCAUGAUUUUCUAUCCAGCAACUAUCAGGGCUUUUAGUUAAAGCAGAUUUGGGGAGGAGAUGAUUAGAGUCCUUGAUUAGUGUCAACAAACUUGAAUUUCUAGUUCAUGAAGCAAUCUCUCCCAACACCCAAUUCUCCUAUUUUUGGUGGUAACUCAUCAAUUCUACUUGAUUUUCAGGAUAUUUUCUGGUUGAUUUUGAUUAGAUGGAAUAUGUUAGGAAAUUUGAAAGUAGGUUAUCAUUUUAAGGCAAUUUGAAUUAAAUAUUAUGUAAAUGUGUAUGCUUAUGACUUUUAUAAAUGGCAUAACACAAGUGUGCUAGCAACAUCUGUGUGGCCAUACUGCAGAUUUUCUACAGGCAUGACAUCAUGCUAUUUUUAGACAUUUUCUUUUCACCUCUCCAUUCUUUUCAGAAUGAAAAAUGUCCCACUCCAGAACUAUCUAUAGCUACUUACAUGACAUGCCCAAUUCCCACUCAUCUGAAGUGCUUCAACUUUUGCUUUAGUUUAUGCACUGUGCCUUCAAAAUAAAAAAUAAAUAAAUAAAAGGACUUUAAAUGAAGUUGAAUAGCUUAAAGAAAUCAAUCUCUGUAAUUUAUGUGAACUCUAACUGUAAUGAGGUCCUUUCUGGUUUUUUUUAUAUGUAAACAGAUCUAAUCCUGUAUAAAAGUUAUUUUAUGAUGUUUGUC